CCGAGUUUACAACUCCCAAACCCAAUGUGAACGUUACCAAACUGUUGCCUCGGCGGGAUCUCUGCCCCGGGUGCGUCGCAGCCCCGGACCAAGGCGCCCGCCGGAGGACCAACCAAAACUCUUAUUGUAUACCCCCUCGCGGGUUUUUUUUUAUAAUCUGAGCCUUCCUCGGCGCCUCUCGUAGGCGUUUCGAAAAUGAAUCA
rnacentral:misc_RNA from 1 species